GUACCAGGAUUUCUUUUCUUUGUGGUGGAUUUGAAUGUGAUCCCAUGUGCUGUACUACAAGUGAGUAACAACAUCUGAAGUCAGACUGAACACAGUGCACAGCAAGUACAUGCCUACUGGCAUGGCGGUCCUGCUUCCUCAGAGGAAUGGAUAAUCCAGGAUCUGGAAUAUCUCCAGUACAAACCAACAGAGAUUCAACUCUGAGUUUUGGAAAAAAAUUUCUAGGGAGCUCAUUGGAACAAGGCAGGUGACUUGCUCUAAAUUCCUCCAUUAUGUUGCAGCAUUGGAAACAACACUGAAACUUUGUGAAACAAAACCGAAGAAAUUUAAG